ensembl:lncRNA
CAGGCUCUUCCGGUGCCUGUUCACCUCAGCGCAGCAGACCCGUAGCAACAGAAUAAAUGAACCGCUUUGUGCUAGGCAGCCGGUCUCUUUAUAAAAGGAUGGAUAGGACUGGUUAGAGAGAGCUUGACACUUGUGUUGCAGAUCCAUUAAUGCCAGCCACAGGUUAAUUCUGAGCAAUUUCCAGGUGAUCCAAUAAUUCAUUAAAGUGACGAAAACAAAUCUUUGGGAAAUCGAGCUGGUGACAGAUAGAAAGCCAAUGAUUUAUUGUCUGGAGAGGAAUAAGUGUCUCCUGUUCCAUUCCUCAGUCUGUUGAGUGAAUCGAAGUGUGCAGGAAGUACAAGUUUCUAGCUUCUGCGACCUUGGGCAAGCACUUCACAUUUCUGAGCCCCCAUCUGAUUCAGCUCUUCAAUUGGAGUCAUAUUCUCUCCUAUACUCAGAGAUGCUGUUCCUUCAAUCUGUAUCCUGAAAUGAGAAUAUACGUGGAAUAGAGUUGAAGAAGAUCUGUGACUCCAAGAAUAUGAAGAAGUAGUGAAAUAAAGCUAAGUUGUAAGCCACUGAGAUUUGUGGGUUGCUUUUGCAUAGCAUAACCUAGUAAAAGCUUACUGAUACAGGAGGUGAAAGGGGUCAUUAACCAAAGAACCGAUAACUAUUUUAAUAGAGGCCUG